rnacentral:rRNA from 1 species
UACGUAGGGUGCAAGCGUUGUCCGGAAUUAUUGGGCGUAAAGAGCUCGUAGGCGGUUUGUCGCGUCUGCUGUGAAAACUCGGGGGCUUAACCCCGGGCCUGCAGUGGGUACGGGCAGACUAGAGUGCGGUAGGGGAGACUGGAAUUCCUGGUGUAGCGGUGAAAUGCGCAGAUAUCAGGAGGAACACCGGUGGUGUAGACGGCUUUCUGGACCGUAACUGACGCUGAGACACGAAAGCGUGGGUAGCAAACAGG